rnacentral:rRNA from 1 species
CCUACGGGAGGCAGCAGUAAGGAAUAUUGGUCAAUGGACGCAAGUCUGAACCAGCCAUGCCGCGUGAAGGAUUAAGGCCCUCUGGGUUGUAAACUUCUUUUAUAGGGGACGAAAAAAGGGCAUUCUUGCUCACUUGACGGUACCCUAGGAAUAAGCACCGGCUAACUCCGUGCCAGCAGCCGCGGUAAUACGGAGGGUGCAAGCGUUAUCCGGAUUUACUGGGUUUAAAGGGUGCGUAGGUGGGUUGGUAAGUCAGUGGUGAAAUCUUCGAGCUUAACUCGGAAACUGCCAUUGAUACUAUCAAUCUUGAAUCAUCUAGAGGUAAGCGGAAUAUGUCAUGUAGCGGUGAAAUGCUUAGAUAUGACAUAGAACACCAAUUGCGAAGGCAGCUUACUAUGGAUGCAUUGACACUGAGGCACGAAAGCGUGGGGAUCAAACAGGAUUAGAUACCCUGGUAGUCCACGCCCUAAACGAUGGAUACUCGACAUUUGUGAUAUACAAUAAGUGUCUGNGNGAAGANAUAAGUAUCCACCGUGGUAAGGUACGACCGCGAGUUAGUUAAAGUUAAAGUAAGUUAGUUAGGCGNGAGAGAGCGACGACGACGACGAGGAGGGAGGAG